rnacentral:misc_RNA from 1 species
GUAGGUGAACCUGCGGAAGGAUCAUUAAUGAAUAAAGAACUAGGGAUUGCGCUUAGCUCUGCCCGAAUCAUCGGCUUCACGGCCGGUGAUAGUUCCAUCAUAUCCAUAACACCUGUGCACUGUUGGAUGCUUGCAUCCACUUUUAAACUAAACAUUAUUGUAACAAAUGUAGUCUUAUUAUAACAUAAUAAAACUUUCAACAACGGAUCUCUUGGCUCUC